rnacentral:rRNA from 1 species
GACGAACGCUGGCGGCGUGCUUAACACAUGCAAGUCGAGCGGUAAGGCUCCUUCGGGAGUACACGAGCGGCGAACGGGUGAGUAACACGUGAGCAACCUGCCCUUCUCAUCGGAAUAAGCGUUGGAAACGACGUCUAAUGCCGAAUAUGACCUCCUUUCGCAUGAUCGGAGGUGGAAAGCUCCGGCGGAGAAGGAUGGGCUCGCGGCCUAUCAGCUUGUUGGGGGGGUAACGGCCCACCACGGCGACGACGGGUAGCCGGCCUGAGAGGGCGACCGGCCACACUGGGACUGGGAAACGGCCAAGACUCCUACGGGAGGAAGAAGUGGGGAAUAUUGGACAAUGGGCGAAAGCCUGAUCCAGCAACGCCGCGUGAGGGAGGACGGCCUUCGGGUUGUAAACCUCUUUCAGCAGGGACGAAGCGAAAGUGACGGUACCUGCAGAAGAAGGACCGGCCAACUACGUGCCAGCCGCCGCCGUAA